rnacentral:rRNA from 1 species
GAUGAACGCUGGCGGCGUGCCUAAUACAUGCAAGUCGAGCGAACAGACGAGGAGCUUGCUCCUCUGACGUUAGCGGCGGACGGGUGAGUAACACGUGGAUAACCUACCUAUAAGACUGGGAUAACUUCGGGAAACCGGAGCUAAUACCGGAUAAUAUAUUGAACCGCAUGGUUCAAUAGUGAAAGACGGUUUUGCUGUCUCUUAUAGAUGGAUCCGCGCCGCAUUAGCUAGUUGGUAAGGUAACGGCUUACCAAGGCAACGAUGCGUAGCCGACCUGAGAGGGUGAUCGGCCACCCUGGAACUGAGACACGGUCCAGACUCCUACGGGAGGCAGCAGUAGGGAAUCUUCCGCAAUGGGCGAAAGCCUGACGGAGCAACGCCGCGUGAGUGAUGAAGGUCUUCGGAUCGUAAAACUCUGUUAUUAGGGAAGAACAAAUGUGUAAGUAACUAUGCACGUCUUGACGGUACCUAAUCAGAAAGCCACGGCUAACUACGUG